AUACGGAGGAUCCGAGCGUUAUCCGGAUUUAUUGGGUUUAAAGGGUGCGUAGGUGGUUUGAUAAGUCAGCGGUGAAAGUUUGCAGCUUAACUGUAAAAAUGCCGUUGAAACUGUCGGACUUGAGUGUAAAUGAGGUAGGCGGAAUGCGUGGUGUAGCGGUGAAAUGCAUAGAUAUCACGCAGAACUCCGAUUGCGAAGGCAGCUUUCUAAGCUACAACUGACACUGAAGCACGAAAGCGUGGGGAUCAAACAGGAUUAGAUACCCUGGUAGUCCACGCAGUAAACGAUGAUUACUAGCUGUUUGCGAUACACAGUAAGCGGCACAGCGAAAGCGUUAAGUAAUCCACCUGGGGAGUACGCCGGCAACGGUGAAACUCAAAUGAAUUGACGGGG
rnacentral:rRNA from 1 species